rnacentral:rRNA from 1 species
GACGAACGCUGGCGGCGUGCUUAACACAUGCAAGUCGAGCGGUAAGGCCCUUUCGGGGUACGACGAGCGGCGAACGGGUGAGUAACACGUGGGUGACCUGCCCUCCAGCUCUGGGAGUAAGCCCGGGAACCGUAGGGUCGUAAUACCGGAUAUGACUCCAUGACGCAUGUUGUGGGGUGGGAAAGCCUUGUGCGGCUGAGGAUGGGCCCGCGGCCUAUCAGCUUGUUGGUGGGGUGAUGGCCUACCAAGGCGACGACGGGUAGCCGGCCUGAGAGGGCGACCGGCCACACUGGGACUGAGACACGGCCCAGACUCCUACGGGAGGCAGCAGUGGGGAAUCUUGCGCAAUGGGCGAAAGCCUGACGCAGCGACGCCGCGUGAGGGAUGACGGCCU